rnacentral:rRNA from 1 species
GACGAACGCUGGCGGCGUGCUUAACACAUGCAAGUCGAACGGAAAGGCCCUGCUUUUGUGGGGUGCUCGAGUGGCGAACGGGUGAGUAACACGUGAGUAACCUGCCCUUGACUUUGGGAUAACUUCAGGAAACUGGGGCUAAUACCGGAUAGGAGCUCCUGCUGCAUGGUGGGGGUUGGAAAGUUUCGGCGGUUGGGGAUGGACUCGCGGCUUAUCGGCUUGUUGGUGGGGUAGUGGCUUACCAAGGCUUUGACGGGUAGCCGGCCUGAGAGGGUGACCGGCCACAAUGGGACUGAGAUACGGCCCAGACUCCUACGGGAGGCAGCAGUGGGGAGUAUUGCGCAAUGGGCGGAAGCCUGAUGCAGCAACGCCGCGUGCGGGAUGACGGCCUUCGGGUUGUAAACCGCUUUCGCCUGUGACGAAGCGUGAGUGACGGUAAUGGGUAAAGAAGCACCGGCUAACUACGUG